rnacentral:lncRNA from 1 species
AUGCUCCGCUGCGCUAUGCAGGUGAGAUCUGUGGCUUCCGGCUCCAUGGGUCUGGGGUACCCUUUGAGGCUGUGAUCCUGGACAAGGCAACAGGUGAAGGGCUGAUCCGGGCCAAGGAGCCUGUGGACUGCGAGGCCCAGAAGGAGCACACCUUUACCAUCCAGGCUUAUGACUGUGGAGAGGGGCCCGAUGGCGCCAAUACCAAGAAGUCUCACAAGUGAGGAAGGAUGUCUGUUACGGGACCCUUCUCCCUCCUUCAGUGCUCUCUCAGAGACAGGGCUCUCCUUUGCUAGCAAGUUGCUUGUUAGCCAUGGAUAGACCAACCCAAACCUGGGAAUGGAACCCACGACCUCACCUAUGCCUGGGAAACACUCUACCAAUGGGCUUUAUCUCCAGCCCCAAAUUUACUAUUGCAAAGUUACUGCUAAUCAUGAGUAAUAACGCUCAUUUUAUCCUUU